rnacentral:lncRNA from 12 species
UUUGGGACAGUAAUUAUUCUUCCCAAGUGCAGCAAUUCAAAUGGGUCAUAAGUGGGUCAAAUAAAGAUGACUGUAAAGAACUCCAUCAGAUACAAAGUGUGUUUGUUCUGUAACUAUGGGCUAAUCUCACUGCCUGUUCCAGGGAAGUGCCCCAGAUGCCGUGGUUAUUCCGAGUGACAGCUGUCCUGUGGUGGGGGUUCCCUGGAAUGGCUGCAUGUGAUCACAUAACCAAGCUGCUGGCCUGCUGUUCCCAGCUCCCCCUUGCUCCUUGUGCCUUUUCCUUUAGCUCAGAGCCUUCCUCUCCAGCCAGCAGAGCCCUGUGUCAUAUAAGGAGCACCAGUUAUCUUUAUCUUCCCAGUCUGCCUCCAGUAGAGAGAAAAUGGUUUCAGCUGGUUCAGAGAGAGCAUUGUGCUCCAAAUUUGC